rnacentral:rRNA from 1 species
GGACCUGACUGCUAUCGGAUUGAUACUAAGCCAUGCGAGUCAUUGUAGUAAUACAAGGCAGACGGCUCAGUAACGCGUAGUCAACCUAACCUAUGGACGGGAAUAACCUCGGGAAACUGAGUAUAAUGCCCGAUAGAACAUUAUGCCUGGAAUGGUUUAUGUUCCAAAUGAUUUAUCGCCGUAGGAUGGGACUGCGGCCUAUCAGUUUGUUGGUGAGGUAAUGGCCCACCAAGACUAUUACAGGUACGGGCUCUGAGAGGAGUAGCCCGGAAGAUGGGUACUGAGACACGGACCCAGGCCCUAUGGGGCGCAGCAGGCGAGAAAACUUUGCAAUGUGCGAAAGCACGACAAGGUUAAUCCGAGUGGUUUCUGCUAAAGGAACCUUUUGACAGUCCUAGAAACACUGUUGAAUAAGGGGUGGGCAAGUUCUGGUGU